UUCAGGUUCAAGCUUCUUUCCCGUCUGCAUCUCUAGGUUUUUUGCAUGGACGCUGAAGCUGAAUCACGGGCGGAUGAUCUCGAUCAUAUGAUUCUCGAUCUCACAAGCCUUCGAGUUUAACGGAGAUGGACCUGACGGAAAAUCGACUUUCGAGUUUUGAUUCUCGGAUUAGAGAGGUCUAGAACCUGAAGAAGUUCUCUCUUCGUCAGAACCUCGUCAAUGAUGCUACGGCUGAAUCACUUUCUCGCUGGAGCGCACUGUCAGGUCUCGAGUGUGAGUGCUAAAGCGAUUCUCGGAUUAGAGAGGUCUAGAACCUGAAGAAGCUCUCUCCUCGUCAGAACACCUCAUCAAUGAUGCUACCGGCCGGAGCGCACAUGUCAGGUCUCGAGGAAUUUUAUGUAUCUAUGAAUGAAGUUGCUGAAAUGGAAGAGCUAGAUCAUUUUCAACAGUUGAGGAUUCUUGAGCUUGGUUCCAAUAGACCGCAGUGGUGUGUUGCUUCGGAAGGACACUAUCUUGGUCAUUUCAGAACUUGAAGGCAUUUCAACCUUGGUCCAUCUUCCUAUAUUGAAUGUUUCAUUAAAUAAGCCAAUGAAUGCGAAUGACAUUCAAAAUCGGACAUGGUUUCAUGAAUUUCGUAUCUCCCAUCAUAUGUAACAUGGUUGUGGUUUCCAGGGUGAUAAUCUGGUUACUUCGUUGGAUUGGCGUUUGUAGUCUAGAAGAUUUAGGCUUAAAGACAGACGAAUAGAACCACUUGAAAGCAUUGCUGAGGAUGUUGCUGGUUCAAGAGAGGAACCGACAACCAUCUACCCCAAGAACAUGGGGCAGCAGAAAAUGUCAUUUUUGUCCCUGGCAAAACCAAGGGCAUAGACGUUAAAGUGCUACAAAUGCAACCUAUCUUUGCGUCUUGAUCAGGUGAGUGUCCUUCAAUAUUGUAAGUUAAUCAACUGUCUCUCCAAACAAGACCCAAAUUUGCAAAAUCUCUGGAGGAGUAUUUGAAGCUACAUCAGGUAACAUGAGUUUUAAAAACUUUAUGUUUAGGAUACGGAUCGGAGUACUUUUUCUCUGCUAAAUUCAUUGACCAAGUGUUCUUAAAUAUCUAAUCUAUAAAGAUUUUCCCUAUGGGUUUCUUGUUUUAUAAUCUCUUU